rnacentral:rRNA from 1 species
UGAACGCUAGCGGCAGGCUUAACACAUGCAAGUCGAGGGGCAGCAUGAUUGUUAGCAAUAACAAUUGAUGGCGACCGGCGCAAGGGUGCGUAACGCGUGAGCAACUUGCCCUUAUCAGGGGGAUAACCGUUGGAAACGACGACUAAUACCCCAUAGUAUCUGGAGAAGGCAUCUUUCCAGCUUAAAGAAAUUCGGAUAAGGAUAGGCUCGCGUGACAUUAGCUAGAUGGCGGGGUAACGGCCCACCAUGGCGACGAUGUCUAGGGGUUCUGAGAGGAAGGUCCCCCACACUGGAACUGAGACACGGUCCAGACUCCUACGGGAGGCAGCAGUGAGGAAUAUUGGUCAAUGGCCGAGAGGCUGAACCAGCCAUGCCGCGUGAAGGUCACGGCCCUAUGGGUCUUAAACUUCUUUUGUAAGGGAGCAAUAAGGUCUACGUGUAGACUGAUGAGAGUACCUUACGAAUAAGCAUCGGCUAACUCCGUG